GCGCGAAGCAAAAGUCAACCGACUUAGGGCAGGGACGGUUAGACACGAAAGAGUGCGCAGUGAUCCCAUCAGCAAACCUUUGUGCCUACAUUUACUCAUCCCAGGGGUGAAGGAGUGCGUGUGAGAGUACAAGCUGUUUAGGAACCCUCGGCAGAACCGAUGAGUACAAUCGUGAAUACCCAUCAUCCAACAGGUAUUUACCAAGUACCCAGAAUAUGCCAGGCACUGUUCUGGGUGCUGCUACCUACGUCUACGGCCUAUUAGGAGUCCAAUCUUUAGGCAACGGACAGCUUUCCACCACACCAUGUCCAUGCCUCACACCCUUCUCUCUGCAUGCUAGGUCAGGCAAACAACUGUGUAAAGACUUCUCAGGACUCAUGCCUUCUGUAGACCUGCAGAGACUGUUCAUGGAAACUGGUGACCAGCAGGAGGCGCUGUGGAUUCACGUGGCAGGCUGGGAAGUUAGAGGAGUCGGUUGGUUGUGCUGUAUACUCUUGGCAUCCACAGGACUUGAGACAACAAUGCUGGCCAGGUUGGGCAGUGGAAGGUGCUGGGCACCCAGGAGAUGGAGCUGCCAUCCACGCUGAUGUGUUCAAGUGAGAAGUACAAGAACCUUAAGAUGUCCGUGAGACUGGAAGGAAGAAGUUGAAUGAGAAGCAGACAGCAGGAGACCAGGAGUAGAGGACAGAGCAAAAGAGGAAGGAAGAGUGUUUGGUGAAAGGAAGCACAGGGCUGAUCAUCUGGUCCAGGCCUGUGGUUCCUAAUCCAUGGGUCUAUGGUCACCCUGGAUCACAGUUGUGGGAGGGAACCAGGCCAGAAGAAGCAGUGUGUACAACUCGUUGUUCCUGUCAGACACCUCCAUGAGCUAU
rnacentral:lncRNA from 1 species